rnacentral:rRNA from 1 species
ACGGGAGGCAGCAGUGGGGAAUAUUGCACAAUGGGGGAAACCCUGAUGCAGCGACGCCGCGUGAGUGAUGAAGUAUUUCGGUAUGUAAAGCUCUAUCAGCAGGGAAGAUGAUGACGGUACCUGACUAAGAAGCCCCGGCUAACUACGUGCCAGCAGCCGCGGUAAUACGUAGGGGGCAAGCGUUAUCCGGAUUUACUGGGUGUAAAGGGAGUGUAGGCGGCGAUGCAAGUCAGAUGUGAAAGCCCGGGGCUCAACCCCGGGACUGCAUUUGAAACUGUAUUGCUAGAGUACUGGAGAGGCAAGCGGAAUUCCUAGUGUAGCGGUGAAAUGCGUAGAUAUUAGGAAGAACACUGGUGGCGAAGGCGGCUUGCUGGACAGAGACUGACGCUGAGGCUCGAAAGCGUGGGGAGCAAACAGGAUUAGAUACCCUGGUA